rnacentral:rRNA from 1 species
AUUGAACGCUGGCGGCAUGCCUUACACAUGCAAGUCUAACGGCAGCACGGUAGCAAUCCUGGUGGCGAGUGGCGAACGGGUGAGUAAAGUAUCGGAACGUGCCCAGUCGUGGGGGAUAACGUAGCGAAAGUUACGCUAAUACCGCAUCCGAUCCAUGGAUGAAAGCGGGGGAUCGCAAGACCUCUCCCGCGUGGACCGCCCGAUAGCAGAUUAGGAAGUUGGUGGGGUAAAGGCUCACCAAGCCGACGGUCUGUAGCUGGUCUGAGAGGACGACCAGCCACACUGGGAGUGGGACACGGCCCAGAGGCCUACGGGAGGCAGCACUGGGGAAUUUUGGACAAUGGGCGAAAGCCUGAUCCGGCCAUGCCGCGUGCAGGAUGAAGGCCUUCGGGUUGUAGACUGCUUUUGUACGGAACGAAAAGGUUUGGCCUAAUAAGCUGAGCUCAUGACGGUACCGUAAGAAUAAGCACCGGCUAACUACGUGCCAGCCGCCGCCGUAA